CUUGGCAGGGUGUCUUGUCAGCCUUAAUCGGACAAUAACAGCUCUCUCAAACUCUGAAAUAGCAGAGAUAUUGAGACUGUACUCCUGCCUGGAUCCCAUUGACAAGUCCCCUACCAAAUACUCCUUAAAAAGCAAGAAAAAGACCCUGUCAGGACUGUGAAGAGCUUCUCGGAAGCACAGUGGCUCUGCUCCAGGCCAGCAGGCAGCUGAGAGAUUGUUCAUUUCACAGUGUCAAGGUGGAAUUUGAACCGGUCAGCACAAGCGCUUUGUAUGACUGAGACAUCCAGGACAAAGAUAUAUAACAUCCGUUUGAUGUCCAAUGUGAAUGUGCUCAGCAACAAAGUGUUAGGAAAACCUCUUCUCCCAGAGAUUAUCCCCCCUGGGAAACCUACCAGAGAGCGUAUUGCUGUAGAGUAUCUUCUGGCACAGUCCAACAGAGAUCUUCUGAGCCAGCAGAUUGGUAUUGCUGACAUCCUGCCUGAGAUCUUGGAUGAAGACCUUGAGGACGAAUGGCCUGAUGUGACUGUACCACAGGCUCAUGACCUCACAUUGCAGCAAUAUGUAAGCGGUGGCCCCAGGCCCAGCUUCCACAGCAGAUUGCCGUGGCUAAAAAAUCCCUCCUGGAGGCUCGUGACCUACCAUCACAGCCAGUUCAGCAUGGACACACUCUUUUGAAGUUCCAGGAGCCUGAGAACCGUGAGGGUGAUGCAAAAAUCCACCAGCGGCAUUCCAGAACAUCUGUACUAUGUGCCAUUCCACACACAGGUGGGGGAGACACAGCUAUUGCCAUGCACGAUGCUGCUUCCUCUCAAAACAGAUGUAUAGAGGGCUGGUGCUCUACCUACCAGCCAUCCCCAACACACUACCAGAGCUGGACUUCUUUUCUUCAGGCACCCCAGAAGUGCUCAUCUGCCUAUCAGCUGCCCCCAGCUCACACCCAGGGCUGGUCUGCCACCCACCCACAACCCUCAGCAUCCAACCAGGGCUGGUCUGCAACCCACCCACAACCCUCAGCAUCCACCCAGGGCUGGUCUGCAACCCACCCACAACCCUCAGCAUCCUCCCAGGGCUGGUCAUCCACCUCCUGUCCUGACCAACCUAGGUUCCCUCACCAAGCACUAGAUCCCUUUAAUCGCCAGCGUGAAUGGCGAUUACACAAGGCAGCCCUUGAGAACCAGGAGCGAGUGAGGAAAGGUGAGCCCCCAAAGAAGAGAAAGGCAAAAGAGAGCUACCACUAUGAGUGUAAGCUGUGUGGUCAGCCAAAAUCAAAGCG